rnacentral:rRNA from 1 species
AGCGAACGCUGGCGGCAGGCCUAACACAUGCAAGUCGAACGAACUCUUCGGAGUUAGUGGCGGACGGGUGAGUAACACGUGGGAACGUGCCUUUAGGUUCGGAAUAACUCAGGGAAACUUGUGCUAAUACCGAAUGUGCCCUUCGGGGGAAAGAUUUAUCGCCUUUAGAGCGGCCCGCGUCUGAUUAGCUAGUUGGUGAGGUAAUGGCUCACCAAGGCGACGAUCAGUAGCUGGCCUGAGAGGAUGAUCAGCCACAUUGGGACUGAGACACGGCCCAAACUCCUACGGGAGGCAGCAGUGGGGAAUCUUGCGCAAUGGGCGAAGGCCUGACGCAGCCAUGCCGCGUGAAUGAUGAAGGUCUUAGGAUUGUAAAAUUCUUUCACCGGGGACGAUAAUGGCGGUACCCGGAGAAGAAGCCCCGGCUAACUUCGUGCCAGCCGCCGCCGUAA